GGUGAAGAAGCGCCGAGGCUGGGAGUAGGGGCCUCAGUUGAUGGAGACGGUGGGCUGGAGGCCGAAGGUGAUAGCGCUGGAGACUUAGCUUUGGUCUUGCUAGGGGCCGGAGCUGGAACCGUGGCAGGAGGAGAAGCCAAAGGAGCUGGUGGUGGGGUAGCUGGAGGAGGAGUAGCAGGAGGGGGAGAAGCAGGUGGUGGGGUAGCCUGAGGUGGAGAAGCCGGUGGGGGAGUUGCGGGAGGUGGGGUAGCUGGGGGAGGAGUAGCCGGUGGAGGAGAAGCUGGUGGUGGGGAGCUAACGGGCGGGGGAGUCGCUGGAGGAGGAGUGGAAACUGGUGGUGGAGAAGCUGUCACUGGAGGUGGUGAUGAUGUAGGAGGAGGAGUGGAAGCUGGUGGCGGAGAAGUAGUUGUGGGUGUUGGAGGUGGUUGGGUAGUAGGCGGAGGUGUGGAAGCGGGUGGGGUCGGCGGCACCGGCGUGGAUGUCGGAGGAUUACUAGGAGUAGGAGGAGCUUGGCCUAAAGCGCCAGCUACAGCAAUGCAAAACAAAGCUGAUAAGAACAAAAACUUGUUAUUAAGCAUCAUGUUGGAAACAAUGGUGACCCUUUAAUCCUGCACACCCUCUCCGCUUAAACUACGCCCAGCCGCGCAAGCAAAAGAGGGAGAAGAAUAGCAAGUAUGAGAAAUGAAAAGAUGGUGAUAUUUAUAUAGAGGAUAUGGAAAUUUCUAUAUCAUAUUUCAAUUUUAAAUCCCAAAAACAAAUAAUUUAAUAACAUUUUUAUUUUAUUACUAAUGGGAAAAUUAUAUUACUAAUCCUAUGCAAUUUUCUAUUUUAAUUUAGUGUAAUUUAACUCUUUCGUUGUGUUAUUAAUAGGUUCAAAAUUGAUAUUCGAUCGUACAAGCAGAGAUGUAGAAAUGAAUCAAUUUUGUUAAAUAAGCAAUAAAUCUCAAUCUUAGUCAAAUGCUUAAAGCUGUUAUAAAAAAAAAUCACGUCACCAUUUUAACAUUAAUAAGUAUCAAAUUAUAUAGAAGUAAAGGAUUAAAUCUCUAAUUUCAAUUUAGUAAAGGGACUAAACUGGAAUUAAAGGGUUAGAGUUUUUUCCUCGUUUGGUGAGGUAAAAUAAAAACCCUAGUGGGGCAUCACUUUGAUGAUUAUAAAUGAUGCGUUAGUUAGUCAUACUUUAGGUAAAAAACUGUAGGUGAGAUUAGUGUAGAUUGAAAUAUUUUAGUGAAAGGUUAAUUUAUACCUUAAAAAUUUUGCAAUAUUUGGUAGUUCCAUGAAAUGAUUCCCACUAUCAUCAACUUUUCAAUCAUUCAAAUAGGUUUUAAUUUGUUUUGUUGUGAAAUUUUUAAGGAGUCAGGUCCGGUUGUUAUAAAAUUUUAGGUUUGAAUUUGACUUGAAAAAUAGGUUUAAAAUUUUACUUAAACCCAGUCUAGAUAAAAAUAUUAAACUCAAGUCUGGACGUAUUAAACUUUUUAUAUUAUUAUUUAUAUAAAAACAAAUUUAAAAAAUAUAAUACAUCAAAUACACUAAAAAUAUUAAAAUAGAUGUUUCCCAACAAAUUGAAAAUACAUUAAAAAAGUUUUUAUACUUAGCAAGCAAAUGCCUCUAAAAUAGUAGCAAAAUUAACAAUAAAAGAGUUAUAUAAUAUCCAAACAAUAACAGCAAAAUAGUAGUAAUAUAAUAGCAAAAUGGCAACAAAAUAACAGUAGAAAAAAAAAUUUAGGCAAAUUCGGGCUGAGCUGUGUCAAGCCCAGGUAAAAAAAGAUCUUACCCGAGGUCGGCCCUUUUAGAAAAUGAGCCUUAUUUUAUUGUCGAAACUCAUUUUCUAGACCUAUAUUUUUCCCAAAUCCUCCCACUUAUGGGGCGAUAUUUAGGGCUUGGGCAGGUGGCUCGGCGCAUGAUUAGGUCUAACGAUGGAUUCUUUUGUUAGUAAUGUUUAUUUUGGUGUUUGAGUUUUUUGUGUCUUAAUUUGGUACCUAAUUUUGGCUUUAAUUUUUUUUCCAAUUAAGCACUUAAGUUUGGCUUCAAUGUUCAAAUUGGUACCUAAUUUUUUUUUGUCCAAAUUAAUUACCUAUAUUUUGUUUACCAAAGCACGUGUGUCAAACAUUCAUUGGGUCAUAUGAUGACAUUUGGCUUAGGUAUCAAAUGAAUAUCAAAUCCGAACUUGAGUACCAAAUUGAAACAAAAAACACAAAUACCAACUAAGUAUUGAAGCUAAUCUCAAAUAUGGAAUGGUAUGUUAGCCCAUUUGUAAACAAAAUUUCAAGGAAGACUUAAAAUUUAGCAUCUACUAAGCUUUCAGUUUCCCUUUUGUAUGUUACAAUUGAUGUUUGUUUAACGCAUAAACUUGGUAUCUUUUUUCCCGUAAUGAUAUUUAAGCUUUUUUUUAUACUUGAUAUCCAAACUUUCAUUCUGUCACACCAUUUUGAGCAAUUUUUGUACAACUAUAUUAAAAUCUGUAGUUUGGUUAUCUUCAACAUUAAGGAUUUCUACGACAUACUUUUUGCGCAUUCCUCCCAUGACAUUAAGAAGUAGGGAGGCGAAAGUGGUGGUGCUAAAAGGAUCAGUUUAUCUAAUUAAGUGGAGAGUUGAAAAGGGAAAUAAAUUAGGAAGGAGUAGGGGACUCACACAUCCAUAACAUAUGCAUAUGUUAAGAUUAAAAAUUUACACAACCCAAUUGCAAAUGGUGAGACUUGGACUUGGAUACUCAAGGAUCCAAGAUCUCGCCUUAACCAACAAUGUUAAGAUCUCAUUGACUCUUUUGGAGUUUUUUCAAAUUCAGGAUUAAAAAUUAUGAUAUAACUCAAUAUAAUAUUAAAGAGUAAAAAUUAAUCAAAAUUUACAUAUAUCACUCAUUUAAUCAUGUGUACAGAUAAAAGGAAACCACUCGUCCUCUUGCCAACCCUACGUGUAACAUAAUUCACUAUAAAUUCCAUUUACCAACAUAUACAUACAUACAUAAAUAUAAAAGAGAACUUCAUUGGUCUUGGACUGGAUUGGCUACAAACUUUGACAAAAGGCAUGUGUAGGAGGAUUAAAUUCGAUGAAUUGCAUGAUAGUUUCUCCUUUUUGAUAAUUUAGUACAUGAGAGAAUAAUGAUGAU
rnacentral:lncRNA from 1 species